AUCCCUGUAGCGCAAUGGAUAGGGCGUUGGACUUCUAAUCCAAAGGUAGUGGGUUCGAAUUCCUCCUGGGAUG
rnacentral:tRNA from 1 species